rnacentral:rRNA from 1 species
UACGAAGGGGGCUAGCGUUGCUCGGAAUCACUGGGCGUAAAGCGCACGUAGGCGGAUCUUUAAGUCAGGGGUGAAAUCCUGGAGCUCAACUCCAGAACUGCCUUUGAUACUGAGGAUCUUGAGUCCGGGAGAGGUGAGUGGAACUGCGAGUGUAGAGGUGAAAUUCGUAGAUAUUCGCAAGAACACCAGUGGCGAAGGCGGCUCACUGGCCCGGUACUGACGCUGAGGUGCGAAAGCGUGGGGAGCAACAGGGAUUAAGCAUACCCUGUAACGUCCA